rnacentral:rRNA from 1 species
UACGUAGGGUGCGAGCGUUGUCCGGAAUUACUGGGCGUAAAGAGCUCGUAGGUGGUUUGUCGCGUCGGCCGUGAAAUCUCCACGCUUAACGUGGAGCGUGCGGUCGAUACGGGCAGACUUGAGUUCGGUAGGGGAGACUGGAAUUCCUGGUGUAGCGGUGAAAUGCGCAGAUAUCAGGAGGAACACCGGUGGCGAAGGCGGCAUCCUGGACCGACACUGACGCUGAGGAGCGAAAGCCAGGGGAGCAAACGGG